UACGUAGGGGGCAAGCGUUGUCCGGAAUCAUUGGGCGUAAAGAGCGUGUAGGCGGCCUGAUAAGUCGGCUGUGAAAGUCAAGGGCUCAACCCUUGAAUGCCGGCCGAUACUGUCAGGCUAGAGUCCGGAAGAGGCGAGUGGAAUUCCUGGUGUAGCGGUGAAAUGCGCAGAUAUCAGGAGGAACACCGGUGGCGAAGGCGGAUCUCUGGGCCUUACCUGACGCUGAGGCGCGAAAGCUAGGGGAGCGAACAGG
rnacentral:rRNA from 1 species